AUACGAAUGGGGCAAGCGUUGUUCGGAAUCACUGGGCGUAAAGCGUACGCAGGCGGUCAAGAAAGUCAGAAGUGAAAUCCCAGGGCUCAACCCUGGAACUGCUUUUGAAACUUCUUGACUAGAGUCCCGGAGAGGUUAAGAGAAUUCCUAGUGUAGAGGUGAAAUUCGCAGAUAUUAGGAGGAAUACCAGUGGCGAAGGCGCUUAACUGGACGGGUACUGACGCUCAGGUACGAAAGCGUGGGGAGCAAACAGGAUUAGAAACCCUAGUAGUCC
rnacentral:rRNA from 1 species